ensembl:lncRNA
CAGGAUGGCAUUUAGGAGGCUUCAGCUGUUCAAUAUUGCAUUUUAAUAUAUAAAAGUCACUGUUCAAUUGAAUAUUGAGUUUUCUAAGGAAGUAAAACUACAGAAAAGAAAUUUGCAAGAAUCUAAAAUAAAUGAGUUUGAGGAAGAUCAAACUGCCCUUUUCGCUGUUUCAAAGAUCAAAAGAUCUCUCUUUUAUAGAAAUCAGGAGCAGUGUGAAUAGCCUUUUUCCUCUAGCGCAAAGCCCCGUUUUUUCGCCAUCAUUGAUAGCUUGGGACCACACCAUCAUGGUAUGAAAGACCCUGGGUGGGAGGGAAGAUGGUUUCAUUCCCGAAAAGUACCCAGGACUUUGGCAUCUGAAAUAGCAGGUUUUUCAUUUAAUUUAGUCUGGAGCCCAGUAGAGUGAGAAAAUGAAAAUCUGUCCUCAGCUCCUUCAGGAGGAGGGGUAGACUUGAAGGGCCUGAGAGGGUCUCCUGAUAAUUGUUUUUAAAGCCUGCUGAGUGUUUUUGACUCUACCUCUCAGGAAGGCUGGAGUACAUGUAAGGAGGUCAUCUUUGCAUUCACACUACCCUGCAUUCUGUGUUGCCUUAGGAAGUUACCUUGUCUCUCUAGGACUCUAUUGCUUCAUGUGUAAAGGAGGGAUAACAAUAUGUACCUCAUUGGCUGAAGCUCUUUACAACCUCAGGGCCUUUGUUUGUGCUGUUCCUUCAACCUGGCUAACUCAUGCUCAGCCCCCAAGAUUCAGCUGGAAUGGCUUUUCUUCUGGGAAGCAUUCUAUGAACUACCCAGACCAAGUUAUGCCAAUUCCCCAUGCCCCGUUAGACAGUGUGCUAUGGUUUUCCUUGUGGCACUUGCCUCCAUCGUAAUUGAGAACAUUCUGUAUGAGUCCUGGUGUCAUGUCUGGUUCCUUCUAUAGUGGAUUAGGAAACCUAGCUUGUUCAUUCAUGGCUACAACUAAAACAACAACACCCAAAAAAUGUUUGUUGAGUGAAUAAAAUGAAUGGAGAUAAAGAACAUCACACAGUAAGUGAUCAAGAAAUGGCUUCCUGGAGACCAGAGAGAGCCUUGCCUCUCCACAAGUACGGGGUGGAGCCUUGACAGCCUAGCUGAUCCAGGAAUAUCCAUAGAUGUGCAGGUGGACAUCGUUAAUCAUCUCUCCAUCCAAUUGCCUUCUUCACCUGCUUGUUUCUUUGUCUUCUCUCUGAGAAUAUGUCAUCGACUUUCAGGAAGAUUCUGGAAUCCUUGUUCAUCCCUUAAUGAUGCAGGCUUCCUCAUUCCUGGAAGGUCCUUCUGACUUCACAGAGAGCUCUGUAGGAGAGGUCUUCAGUGAGAUGUGAGAAACUGGUGAUGACCAUGGAGCUUUUAGCCCUGUUAAGAUGGUUGAGUGGGAGUAGGGGAGUUGGAAAUGUCAGCCCAGUGAGCCUUAUAAGUUAGAUCAGCUUUCUCAUGCUUUUAAACAUCAUCAUCACCAUUAUCAUCACCAUCAUCAUUAACAAUUAACAACAACUUCUUACAAAACCUCUGCCUCCUGUCCAGGGGCAAAAAAAUGCCCAUGAACAUUCUAAGUCAUUGAUGAUUGAGAAGUCACUAUUAGAAUAUUUUUGCUUGGGUUAAGGCAAGUGCCUUAAGAAGUUACUUUAUUAGUUAUUAACUACUUAUUGUGAAUUGGCUUGUCAACUCAUUUCAUCUGAGAAGAUGAGGCGCCAAGCAUUAAGCAUUUGGUUGCUUGGCUGGGAAGGAAGUGUCUCUAUCAAAGUUUAGUUGUAGAUAGCAGAAUUCAGUCUAGCUAUUUUCAGCAGAAAUAGAUUUCAUACAAGGAAUAAGGAACUUACAAAAAUCCCUGGAAGGUCUGGAGGAGAAGACUUCCAGUAGAACUUCCAGGAAUCAUAGAACAUCCCAGAACAAUGCCUCAGAACUGGCCCACCAAGGCAGCUGUUGCCUCUGCCAUGAUCAAGUUGGUGAAGAACGAGGUCACCUCUACAACUGCUGGCUCUUGGACCUCACCACAUCUAUCCCAACAUGCAACAACAAAACAAAUGCCCUUGACUUGCCUCUCCAUAGCCACAGUGCUGGGGUCUGGACCUAGGGGCAUCUGUUAGAGUUCCCACAUGUCUCCACACUGUGCUUGCUAGCAGAAGUAGUACAGUGCAGCCUCCCUCUCAAUGUCUACUUCCACCUCUGAAUCUCAUGGGGGAGUGUCUGCUUGGGUGAAGCUAGGACUCACGUGGAACCUAAGUUGAGGCCACUCUGGGGAAUGAGACCAUUUAGCUUGUGAGCCUCUGCAGGGCCAUCUAGUGGCUAUUGAGUGGUUGAGAUGGACUAGAGUGAACUAGCCUUCAGAUUCUACCACAGGGGCUACGUGGUAGGGGUACAAGAGAAUAUUUUUGAGAGAGAAAUGGAGAAGGGUCUGAAAACAACCUUGACUGACCUCACAACUUUGCCUGGAGCUGGUCCUGGUUAUUAAGAUGAGGCAUUUUAGGAAUGCCACAUCAGGGAGACAUUAUUGUUCUCUUUGGGUAGGUGGUUUUGAGGUCUGCUUUAAACUUUCUUGAGUAAAUAGCCUCCUUCUCCUAUACCUGUGACAUUUACGGUGGGGUGUUUUGUUGGUUCACAAACUGGCCCCUGUACAUGGAGAGCAAGGAGAGACCGAAGAAAGAGGCAGACAACUCCAGAUUAGUAGGUGGCAGGUUUAACAAGCAAGGGAACUUACAUACAAGUCUUGCCUUGGGCAGUUGCAAGACGAGUAGAUCUCUGCACCCACCUGCCAGAAUCUUAAAAGUUUAUAGAGGCCUUAACUGGCUUCAGUUGUGUAUACCAUCCGGAUGGGCUCAAGAACACAGUGCUCGCUCAAGGCUGCAUCCUUGAAAAUGGCUCCCAUUGUUGGAAUGGUAAAUCACUAUUUCCGUGAGGAGGAGACCCCAAAUGAUGGCUCAAAGUUGCUCAUUUUGGAUGGAUCAUGGAAAUCCCCUCUGGAUUUUGGAAGCAGGCAGUCAGUGGCACCAUCCUGCCAUCUUCUUUUUAACAUUCAAUCCAGCAAACACCUUAAGCUUUAAUAAACAUCUCCUUUAAUAGUGUUGACUCCAAGCUAAUAAGGCAACUAGCAAAUCAAGUGAAGGUAAAUUUCUCAUUAACAAUUUAUUUAACUUUGUUGAAUAGAGCAAUUCCAACUUCUUCUAAUUGAGUUUGUAACAAAAAGAUGGAUCCAUUUUACCACCACCCUCAGGACCUUAAUCAAACUCUGGGAAAGGUAAAGUAACUCUCAUUAGCAGACUAAGAGGUAAAAUCUAGGAUGGGAUGGAAGGUACCAGAACACUGUUCAAUUCCAAAACUUUCAACAGGAUUAUAAAGCAGAGGCGCAGACUGGCAUUUCACAGUGUUUUGAAUUUUAUUUGCCAGAGGAAGAGCCCUUUGACUUGAAGCUAAAGCUAUGUGUAAGACUUUGAAGAUGCCGGCUUUAGGAUGUGGGUGAUGUGUUCAAUUUCUCCCCCUUUGUUUAAGAUCCCUCUGUGGAAUGUGGAAAAGCUUGCUGGGUAGAUCUGUAAGAGGACUUACCCUUUUCAGCUGAUCCAAACCCUUUCCCUUUGGCUCCAGGAGGUGGCUGUAAUUUAGGAGUUUCAUAAUGAAGGGUUGAGCGAGACUGCCUAAAGUGACAGCCCUGUGGGCAGAGGGACACGUGACGUGUCUGUGAUCGGCCAGUGAUUGAAUUUGAAGGGAUUUAAUAAUUCUUCUUGAAAUUCUCGGCUUUUUCCUCAGACUUUCCUCUGGAAGCCUGAUUAAAUGCGUAUUAUUUCUUCUUAAGUGAUUUUACAGGUCGUUUAUUUUGGAUUUAUGAGCAUCAACACGUUUUAAAAGGUAUUAGCGAGCUGUACUGCUGGAUACUUGCUCUCUAAAUCAUUAACUUUACUCUCUAUCAGCAUUAGAUAGUAAGAAAUCUUUCAAAUAUUGCUUUGUUUUUUUCCUUAGGUAUUCAUUCAGGCAACAAAUAUUUUUUAAACACCUUUCAUGUGCUAAGUUUCAGAAAUACUCCAAGGAACAAGACAGGCACGGUCUUGCUCUCACUACAUUGCAGAAAUUUUUAAAAGAUUGUUUAGUAAAGCCUAUAUUAUAGUGAAGUUAGGGGGAAUGAAUUUGAAUUUGAAUUAGUCUUUUUUUCCUAUUCGACACUCCUGCCAAUGAAUCAAGAUCUAUAUGGAGAGGCACGGAGAGGAUAUGGUUCCUCUGUGUUUCAACAUAUGCUGGUGUGUGGUAACAUUUAAAGUAGGAAGGUGAGGUGAGUCGGGGAAAAGACUACCCCUUCUCCCAAGGUAGUUGUUCCAUAGAAUUUGAAAUUGUCCAAUUGUUCUAAGUCUGUAGCUUCAAAAAGAGAAAAUGUCCCAAAUGCUGGCAGAAAUCCUUAUAGUGCCUGUUUUGAGAGGCACAACUCAGCUCCUACACCCACAUAUAAAACCUGCUCUUUGUCUGUGUCCCAUUCACUGGCUGGGGUAUAAGGUGCUGGGACCAAGGUGGAGUGGGCAAAGGGAAUGUGAUUAAGUGAAUUGUUUGAAUUUUAAUGGAGAAGAGACUCAAACGGCUCGAACCUGAUAACUGGAGCUACCUAUGAAGCCAGAGAGGUGAGGCAAACAGCAGAAAAAGGUUAGUCACAAGGUCAGGAACAAAGUGGGUCAAGGUGAGUGUUCAGAAUGGAGGCCAUGAGAAAUGUUGAUCCUGAGGGCGUUCUUUUCUCUGUAAUUAUCUGAAUCCAUGUUUUUAAGUGCCACAGGUAGGGCCUUGUCAGCCUGAAAGCUCUUGUUGGGGCUGCAUACCUGGAGCCCACUGGAAGCGCUAAGCUGUGUGGCAGCUGGAAGUCUGCCCUCAGAAGAGCCUGUUCACUUCCCCGAUGGCUGUGGGAAACCUGGAUGAAAAAGGAUGUGGGAGAAGAGCCAAGGAUGCCACCAUUUUCUCAGGAGAAAGCAGAGGAGAACUGAGGAGCAUCCAUGAGGCUUGAGACUUUACCAAGUACUUUCCCACCCAUCUCAUUUGUCCCUCCUAAUGGCCCCAGAUGCAGAUGGGUAGCUAAAGGGUGGAUGGUUCUCCCUACCUGACAUGAUGAGACUGAAACCUGUGAGAGCAAGUGAGUUUAAGAUCACAUAACUGUGUGGGGUCAGAGAUAAGGCUUGAGCCCAAAUCUCAUUCUGUCUGCAAUUCUCUUUCCAGUACAAUUUACAUAGUAUUCAAAUGAUAUGUAAAAAUAAGCAAAUAAUGAAACCAAGCAUUACAAUCGUAUUGACCCGUUGAAACGCAAGUGUGAGAUGGUAGCCAACUUUCUGUGAUUCCUUUGGAGGCUUUGGCUUUGGCACUUCCCCUGGCCAUCUCCUUUUUCAUGUUUCUGGCCCUGAUUGACACUGGUAGAAACAUCUUUCUGAGCAUUUACCACACCUGCUCCCCGCAACACUCAGGCUGCCAUUCUAUCCAUGGCCACAGCCCUCAGGGUAAUAAGGAUCGUGGGGUACCAGGAAAUGUUUUGUUCAAUAUGAUUCCACUCAUUUGCUUAUUUGGUUGUUGGAUUAUCUUCCAGGAGUAAAUUAGAAGGUUUUACCAUUCUAGUUGCUUGCUUUAGUUGGGAAAUCUGAGGGAAAUGAGUCUAAUUCACUCUUCACAUUUCUAAUUAAAACUUUUUACAUUUCAAGCUUUUUGACAUGAAAAAGAAAGACAAGAAACGUUGUGUGAAAGGCAGCUCUGAGAAGACACAAUCCAUGUGCGAUUGCUUGAGCAAGAAGGGUUAAAAAAAGCAACAACAAAAAAACCUGCCUGCUUUUACUUGCUUAAAAAAAAACCCAACUCAAACCAUCUCCAAAUGUAGCUUAAUCCAUUUUCAGACUCUAUACAUUAUGCAUCAAGAUUUUGUACAAAAGGAAUUUGAGAGGAGCGUUUGCAUGAAACCACUUCAGUGGAUUAAAUUUGCAGUUCAGCAUAUUAGACUCAAAGAGUUUACAAGACAUUUUGAGAGCCCUGCCCCCUUCCCGAAUGUGCAGGGUUCCUGCUUCAGACUAUGCACACUGGAGGAACACACUUUAUGGCAAUCAGGUGUUGUCUUAUUGUAGUGGCAGGAAAAGCUCAAUACUAGUGGUGAAACCAGCCGGCCAGCAGGUGUGUCUGCUUGCCCCUGCUCUUCCUUUUACAGAGUAUUCAUGAAGCACCUGCUCUGUGCCAGGGACUGUGCUGGACCUUGGAGACGAGCACCGAACAGGUCAGAAAUAGGCCCCGCCCUCUGAGCCCUAUAGCCUGAGCUGGGAGACAGACAUUAAACAGGGAUUUAUACAAUUACUUCAUUAAUUACAACCCUUAUCUCAUUCUUGACUUAAAUGGGAAUGCAUCUGGUGUUUCAAUUUUAAGUCAAUUUGAGAUAUUCUUUAAGAUGCUGUGUUCCUUUAAGGCUAGUUUCAUUCAAGGAGCGUCCCUAGAGUUUUAGGAAAAGGCUUCUCUCAAUGUUGCCUCCUCUUAUCUAUUUUCAACCCACCAAUUUUAUAAAAAAUAAACCUGAGGCUCUGUGGGGUAAUGCGACACGCCCAACAUCACACAGUUUGCUGUGACAGAAUCCUCUCUGGAAUCCAGCUCUAGAGGUCAUCUCAGUACUUGAAGGGCAAUGUGGCUGCUUACUCAAUCCCAUGGGCCUGCCAGUGUACCCAACUUAAACUGGAAGCUUCUUCAGAACAGGAGCCAUUUCUGGGAAGCUCUUUGUGCUUCCCUGGGUCCGAACAGUACCUGCUGCAUUCUAACUGUUGUGGGUGUCAGGACUCCCUGUCUGCACCAGAGAGGGCAGAGAAGAUGCUCAAGCUCCCAGUGGAUUGGUCCAGAAGCUGGCAAAAGGACAAUGACAUUGAAGGCUAGGGUGUAGGUUUAUCGACACUGAAGCCUAGGGUGUAGCAUAAAACCUAUCAGAAGCAGAGUUUAUUUCUUAUUAGUUACAAAAAGUUAAUAUAGGCUAUAUGGAAAAUACAGAAAAAAUUUUUAAAAUCACCUGGAAUCUCAUCAUCAAGAGAUAACCUCCGUUUUGUCUGAAUAGCUUUUCUUUGUCUGUCAUUUUUCCCCACAAAAUGCAUAUCAUAUUAAAUGAUAGAUUAUGCUUUUUUCAUUGAAUAUUAUAUUGUGAACAGUUUCUCAAGUCUGCA